GAUAUUUGUCUUUUUGUUCCACAAGGCUCGUCCUCUGACAGUGAAGGAGAGGUGUCAUCCAAGUCCUUCUUGAAGAAGAAGCCUGAGGCGCCUUCAGAAGCCACCGACCGUUCUCAGACUGCCAAGGGAUCUGAGGAUAAGUCCUCUUCUUCUGAUGAAGAUGAUGAUGAUGAUGAUGAUGGAGACUGGAGCCCAAGCGACUCAGACAGCAGGAGUGAAACCUCUGAUAAGGAAGAAGAAAAUGCCUUAAAGAGGAAGCGUCUUGUGACCUUCCUCAAAGUUAAAAGAGCCCAGGACACUGAAAAGCCCGGUGUCAGGAAGGAGGAGAGGAAGAAGAAGCCCAAACCGAAAGAACAAAUUGAGGAGGAGGCUGAGGAGGAAGGAGGUUGGGAGAAGGUUAACAGAGGAGUACCUCUGGUUAAGGUAAAGAACAGAUGGUAAUA